UUCGCAAUGCCCGAAAGGGUGACGAAGCGACGCCGCGUGUGGGAAGAAGGCCUUCGGGUUGUAAACCACUGUCGGGAGUUAAGAAAUACAAGGAUAUGAAUAGUGUCUUUGUUUGACUAAGGCUCCGGAGGAAGCCACGGCUAACUCUGUGCCAGCAGCCGCGGUAAUACAGAGGCGGCAAGCGUUGUUCGGAAUUAUUGGGCGUAAAGAGCACGUAGGCGGCUAUGUAAGUCGGUUGUGAAAGCCUUCCGCUCAACGGAAGAACAGCAUCCGAUACUACAUGGCUUGAGUGUGGGAGGGGAGAGUGGAACUUCUGGUGGAGCGGUGAAAUGCGUAGAUAUCAGAAGGAACGCCGGCGGCGAAAGCGGCUCUCUGGCCCAUAACUGACGCUGAGUGUGCGAAAGCUAGGGGAGCAAACGGGAUUAGAUACCCCGGUAGUCCUAGCCGUAAACGAUGGGCACUAAGUAGAGGGGUUUU
rnacentral:rRNA from 1 species